CCAGAGCUAACUCUGUGCUGCUACAAGAUGACAGUCUCACAACAACAGGAAACAGAACAGGGAUGCUGUCUGAGAGAAGAUAUGAGGGACCUCUCUAUUUGGAUAGGACCAGAGCCCAUGAUCUGGAAGAUAGAAGACCCAGUGGAAUCUGAUGAACUUGGAUUCAAUGUGUAUUUAGUUCUCACUGCUUAACAUAUGAGUCUCCAAUCUCCCAAAGGAUUAGAACUGAGACUCACCAUGGGGAUGAUCCAACCAUAUUCAUCAUUGGUGACACCAAUGAUGCUGGGGACAGGACGAAAAUCCACAGAAGCCAACAACUCUUGGGGAUGCUUGGGUAGGAAUACC